rnacentral:rRNA from 1 species
AAAUUGAAGAGUUUGAUCAUGGCUCAGAUUGAACGCUGGCGGCAGGCCUAACACAUGCAAGUCGAGCGGAAACGACAACAUUGAAUCUUCGGAGGAUUUGUUGGGCGUCGAGCGGCGGACGGGUGAGUAAUGCCUAGGAAAUUGCCUUGAUGUGGGGGAUAACCAUUGGAAACGAUGGCUAAUACCGCAUAAUGCCUACGGGCCAAAGAGGGGGA